AUAGCAAAGGGCAGACAACUAACUUACGACUCCACAACAUGUCCUACCACAAAAACUGCGCGAUUGCGUUCCUAACUGAGACUUUACACCACCUGAAGCAACAGGCGCAUGGUGAAGGGACUUCGUCACCUGGAGAAGAUUCUGAAAUGGGUAUCACACAUUGCAGUCAGCGGCUUACACAUGCACCACCUGAGGAGCAAAGUCAACAAACCUCAACUACCCUCACCACCGAUGAAACCCAGAAAGCACAGGAAAUACAGCAUGAAAAGGAAAAAUUGAAGCAGGAGAACAUGAGACUUCAGAAAAUACUAGAAGAUAUGCAGGCUUCUUUUGGGCAACAACGGAAUGAAUACGACAAGUUAAUGCAGGAGAACAGCAGACUUCAAAAAAGCCUUCAAGACAUGCAGGUUUCUCUUGAACAACAGUAGGUACCAACGAACAACAGGGACAGUCAUGAACAAUCAGCUGGUUCGAUUCCCGACAUCGCCAGUUGGGUGGGAGAAGUGAUCAACCAUCCUUAUCCCCAAUCGUAUGCCAUGAUGACUGAGGUACCUUGAGCAUGUCAGCGUGCCUGCAAAACGUCACAGAAUGAAAGCACAAGACUUCAGAGCAGUAUAAUUAAGAUGGAGGAUUCUUUUCAGAAAGAAAGACAAAAACUAAUGGUUGAGCUUGGAAAUAUAAGUGAAGAGAACGUUAAACUCCAACAAAGAAUGAUGAAUAUGGAUAGUCAUUAUACCCAGCUGCAAGAAUGUAAUGGUAUAAAAAAUCAGGAGUACAGCGACCUCCAGAAAAGCCUUAGAGAAAUGGACAUGCACUACAAAGAACAACUCCGCAAAUCCAAUGAUGAAUGCAAGAGUCUCAAAUCUAAGUGCUUUGACCUCAACCAAAGAAUGGCAGCAAAGAUAUCUCUAGACCUGCAGAGUAGUGGAGUUGGAUUCGAGGAUGUCUCAGACCCAUGCAAUGAAUCCAGCCUACGAGGAAUGUAUGAUGACAUGCGCUUGAAGGACUGGCCAAAACUUAAGAGAAAAUUUGCAAUAACAAAUGAAAGACAACGACAGCAAUUUUAUGGCAAUCUUAUUCAAACUUGGAAGGAAAUAUUUGACAAGGCAAAUGACUGCAUGGAAAAGAGUAAGCAAGACCUGAAAAAGCUUUUUCUACAGGACCAACACCAAACCAACAAGGAGAAGGUGCUGUUAUCUCUCUCUCUCUCUCUCCAAUGUCUUGCCCCAUGGACAAAUGUCUCAAUUGUCUAAGUCUAGUUCAAAAGUAGGCUUACGAAGAUCUUUUUACUUGAAACUAUGAAAAAUAACCUUGCUCAGAUUUCAUCUUUUGCAGUGCAUACAUCAGUUUUCUCCAAUGUUGUGUUAAUUUUUUGGGUUUCAGGUCCUGCAAAACCUUAUUGCAGCUACCCACAGUCUUCAGGUUGUGUUUUCGCUCAAAUCUGACCACCAUUACCAACAUAUUGUGUCUCCCACUCUUCAGAGUCUACCAAUUGCAGGAGGCUGUCCUGAACAGGUGUUGCUAACUGAGCUGGCAGCUAACUACUACAAGCUAAUAUGCUUGAUGCUCCUCCACAAUCCACCAAUGCAGCCGGACUGGCAGCAGGCGGAGAGACCCCACCUACGCACUGAGGAAAGGAUGUUCCCGCCCAUGAAGCUGGUUGAUGGAGUCAAGUCCCACUCUGCUGCCCAAGGCCUGUGUGAUUGAUUAAUGCUUGCAGUAUUUCUCAAAGUGGGGCGGAAGCCCCCCUAGGGGGGCGCGAAGGUAUUGGAGGGGGGGCGCGUGAAGUCAGAAGGUUUUUCUUUUUUAAUACUUUUCUGCUUUGCCAUUAAAUCAACACAUUCACUUUACAAUCACAAUAUAUUAAUUAAUUUAUUCAUUAAUAUUUAGAGUAAUAAGUAAUAAUAUUUAAUAUUUAUCAUUGGCCAUAUACGUGUAUAUUAAGCUCUAAUAAACUUCACGAAGGCCUAUUUAUUUGUAUUUUCGUAACCAUUUUGAUCGAGGGGGGCGCAGACAGACACCCUUCCUCUGAAGGGGGGAAAGGCACGAAAAGUUUGAGAAACACUGGAUUAAUGGAUUACCUGCCAGUGUCAUACGUAUGAUAUGACAUUGUCAUAAUAGUGUCAUAACUCAGUCAUGGGCCUGUCAUAAACAUGAUGCAAAUGUCAAAAACAUAUUAUGACAGUGAUGUAUGGCAUUGACAUAAUGGUUAUGACUCAUCUUUGACUGUGUCAUGACACUGUUUUGGCACCCUUAUGACAAUGCCAUGUCAUACGUAUGAUGCUGACGUCAAGUAAAGUGUUACAGACUGUUUUUUUUUUUGUCUGUUGUCUCCUUUCAAUAGUCGAUUAUGUUAGACAAAACCUUAAGCAGGGAUUGCGUAGCCUUUCAUGGAUUAAACCUCAGGAACUGAACAUGCUUUUAUAGUCGAUUAUUGUCAAGCUUGUAUGAGCUUCCUGACUAUACCAUAGUGUAUAGUCACCUUCCUUUACACAUGUUGUCUUACCUUCAACUUUAAAUCUAAAUGUACAGCAUUUAUUUCCAAAGUUGACUGUUUCCAAUUAAAAACACUCAACACAGAUAUGUGUAGUGUAUUGUAGUGUUUUUACAUUUGUAUAUCAAAGUGGGUUAAUAGCAAGUUCAUGUCCACCAACCACUAUAACAGACCCAUCACCAUUUAUAGACUAGAGUAAACAAACUGAUCUGAAAGAGUGAAAUGCAAAUGAAUGGUGUAUCAAUUAAAUGGUCAUCAUGAAUGUGGUUGGUGUGCUGUAAGUAGGAUGGUCUAAGGACAGUGAGAGGCCUGAGAAGGACAUGAAAAGGAAUACACCCACCAUUUAGGCUGGUGAAAUCAUGUCCAAGAUAGGAAUUAACACUGUUUUUUAUAUAAAAAUCAUCUCAUCGGUUAAUGUAUUUAACUGUUAAGUGUUGUCUUUUGUUUUGUUUUGAGUCUUCCUCUACAUUUGCUGCCUUUUAUUGUCCCCGUCCCUCUCUCAACUCCCCCUCUCAACUCUUUUGAGACGUGUUGCAUUUAUCAAAUUAGAAAUGAGUACAUAUGUCCCCCAAAACAAUAUUUUUUCCCGGUUUUAACACUUAAUAUGUUGUCUUUUCACUCUUCUCCAUCUAAUGAAUAGAUUGAAUGUUUUGAAAAUGAUAGCAUUUUGAUUUUAUUCACUGUUUACCAAACGUCCCAACUUCACCGGAGUUGGGGUUUGUACAAAAAAACUAACUAACCCUUCUUUGCAUCUGCACUGGUUGUUCUGUAUAUUCCCUGUGCACUUUGUAUCUGCUAGUGAUGUUGGCUGUGAUUAUGUAAGUUUUGUAAGUCACUUUGGAUAUAAAGUGUCUGACAAAUGUAAAGUAAUGCAAUGUAAUGUAAUGUAAUAAAACUUCCUGAAAAAGUCACUCAUGCAGCACAUCCAUCAAUCAGAAUAAAGAUGAUAGUCAGAUUGAUUUGUUUUCAUUAAUUAAUACAUUUGCUGUAUAUAUUUAUAUAUCUAAAAAGUAAAAAGUUUCUGUUAAAUUGUUGGGUUCAUGACCUAUUAUACCAAAAGGUUUGUCAUAAUGAGUGACAACAAUAGAAAUGAAAAACAAUUGUAUGCAGUAUACUGUGACUUUUGCCCUAAGAAAAACUUCACUUAGGCCUAUAUUGCAUUAAAAUAGCAUCUGACAAGCAAGAGCUGAUGAUUAGCUCCUGAUGUGUCUAUAUCAUUUCUUCGUGGCGGUGUUGAUGUCCAGGCGUAUCGGCAGCCCAUCUGCAUCCCACUGGAUCUGCAGGGGAGGGUGGUGCAGCGCCACCAAGCAGCUCAGCCUGUACCACUUUACCAGCACCACAGCAACCUCU